UACGAGCAUCUUCUUCUCCGAAGCUUCUCAAACCCAGAAAAUACGAGCAUCUUCUUCUUCGAAGAACUUCAGUGUCAUCGAACAAAUCAUGGGGUUUUUCGUUUCUAUGAAUUUCUAAGUAGAUUUCAAGCGUUCGUCAAUCUCAAUAGAUCCCGAAUCGUUCAUCGAUCUCAUCAAUCGCGAUUUGAUUUUUUCUCGCCGACUCCAAAAUUCAAGUUUCAGAAUUGAGAAUGGACAAGUCUUGGAUUACAAAACAUCGUAUAUCUCAAGACUACAUAAAUGGAGUCAAAGAGUUUUUGGAUUUUGCUUUUGGUUAUAGUAAGACAGAUAUGAUCAAAUGUCCUUGUCAACGUUGUUUUCUUGUUAAACACAAGAAUAUGACUGAGAUUGAGGGUGAUUUAGUCUUUCACGGUUUUCUGCCUACAUAUACAAAUUGGUAUCUCCAUGGUGAAGAACUGGAUUUUCAAGAGCAAGAAGUGAGACUAGAACAUGAAUCUGAUGAUAAUCAUGUUGAAAACCCGACUAUGAAUCUGCUUGGAGAUGUUUUUCCAAGUAUGAGUAAUAGUUUUAACGAUGAUGCUGCUAGUAUGCCUACUAUGGAGGAUCAUUCAAAGCAAAAUGAGGUGUUUGAUGAUUUGCUAGCAGACUGCAAUGAAGCUUUGUAUGAAGGGUGUCACUCUUUUAGCAAGUUAUCAUUCAUGCUCAAGUUGUAUCACAUCAAGUGUAUAACUAGAAUCAGUGACAAAGGAAUGUCAAUGAUACUUGACCUUUUGAAAGAAGCUUUUGAGCAUGCAAAGUUCCCAAUUACAGAAAAGAAAUGGCUUGGAAAGUGAUUCAGAAAAAGUUCUGGUUUGAUAAUCCAAGGAGGAGGAAGAAAUAUGUUUUAUCUGCAUUAGGAGUCAGAUGCAGAGACUUGAAACAACGCAUUUGGAUGAAGUACAGAAGAAAUACUAUAGAGGAAGCAUUUGAAGCAAGACCAGGACUAAUUCCUGAAGAUCAAUGGAAAGAAUUUGUGGAAAUGCAGUUCACUGAUAAGGCUAAGAGAGUGAGAGAGCGUAAUAUUAAUAGUCGAAACAAUCAUAAAAUGCCACAUACACUUGGAAAAAAGAGUUUAGCAAGAAAAGCUAAUGAGAUGGAAGAGGAGACAGGCAAAGAACCAAAUCGAGCUGAACUUUUUAUUGCAUCAAGGACUAGAUCAGAUGGAAGUUUAUUGAGCAACGAAGCAAGAAUCACUGUGGAUAAGCUUUCCCAAGUAAUGACUGAGAAUAUACAAGAUGAAGCAUCCAAUACUGAGUCUAGACCAUAUGAUGCAUUUGAACAAGUGUUUGGUUCUGAGCCUACAGGUCGAGUUCGAUGUGUUGGACGUGGAGUAACACCGUCCAAGUAUCUUUUGGAUCAGGAAUCUGUGAUGUCGUCUAAUGCUGAGAUUUUGGAGCUAAAGACCCGUUUGAAAGGACUUGAAGAUAAGCUAGAAAUCGUGACAGAUGCUCUUUUUGUUCUUGUUAAAUCGAAAACUGAAGGAAGAUACUGAAGUAAGUCCAAUACACUUCGAAGGAGAGCCAAUUUUGAAUCAGAAAAAGCCCAAUGGUGGCUAGAAAGAAGAGAUGGCCCAAGAAGGAGAGUAAUCAUGUACGGAUUCCACGAGGCUGAGAUGAAGAAUCGAUUGAACAGAGAAGAAGAGUCGAUAAUGGAGGUUGAAGGAGGUCAAACAGAGAACCAUGUCUGAAGCAUUUCAGAAGCUCUAUGGGGAUUUGAUUGGCGAAGUCUUGCUGUUCGAUUUCAGACAGUUAGUUCAGCCUCCCGAAUCAAAGCAUCGACAGAUUUGAAUCAAUAUGGAAGCGAUUAUUACAGAGAAGAGCAUCCUAUAUGCGGGAGGAGAGGUCGUUGCAACGACGGGAUAUAUUUUCUCAGACUACCCGUCGUUGUUUCAUUCAAUUUGACUUUAAUCGUUCUCAAAAUCUCUGGCCAGUUGAUUUAAUAACUCUAAUAUAAUUAGCACAUGCAAGAAAUGAUUUUCAAGAUUUUUACACGGAUUUGCUAGUCUGAUAUGUGUGAAUGAAGAUCUGAAACAUCAGUAA